AGCAUCUACAACGCACUCGUUAUUUCUGCUUCCCGCUUUCUCCCGAUUUUAUGCCACAGCUUCAUCUAGUGGGCGUGACGGAUCAUUGACUGCAUUUCCAGACCUUCUCUCCUCCCCUGAAAUCAGAGGGUGGGCCUGAAAGUUCCAACCAUCUAAUCAAGAGUCACUGAUGCCGAGGUUUACCAGCAUCACCGUUCUCAGUACCACGAGCAGCGCAGCAAGGGUGAGGCAGCAUUUAAGGCCACUCCACCGUCUCCAGGAUGUUCAUCCAGGUUCCUGACGCCCAUUCUGCAAGUCCUGAUGCAUCAGCGACACCCACACCCUGACUGCUGACUGGCCAA